rnacentral:rRNA from 1 species
AUACGGAGGGUGCAAGCGUUACUCGGAAUCACUGGGCGUAAAGCGCGCGCAGGCGGCUAUUUAAGUUGGAUGUGAAAGCCUACGGCUCAACCGUAGAACUGCAUCCAAAACUAUUUAGCUAGAGUGUGGGAGAGGAAGAUGGAAUUAGUUGUGUAGGGGUAAAAUCCGUAGAGAUAACUAGGAAUACCAAAAGCGAAGGCAAUCUUCUGGAACACUACUGACGCUGAGGCGCGAAAGCGUAGGGAGCAAACAGGAUUAGAAACCCCGGUAGUCC